rnacentral:rRNA from 1 species
UACGUAGGGCGCAAGCGUUAUCCGGAAUUACUGGGCGUAAAGGGCGCGUAGGCGGUCUUGUAAGUCUUGUGUGAAAUCCCUCGGCUUAACUGAGGAACUGCACGAGAUACUGCGAGACUUGAGUUCGGGAGAGGGAAGCGGAAUUCCGGGUGUAGCGGUGAAAUGCGUAGAUAUCUGGAGGAACACCGGUGGCGAAGGCGGCAUCCUGGACCAACACUGACGCUGAGUGAGCGAAAGCCAGGGGAGCAACGGG